CAGUAGCCGCGGGAAUACGAAGGGGGCUAGCGUUGUUCGGAAUUACUGGGCGUAAAGCGCACGUAGGCGGAUUUUUAAGUCAGGGGUGAAAUCCCGAGGCUCAACCUCGGAACUGCCUUUGAUACUGGAGAUCUUGGGUUCGGAAGAGGUUGGUGGAACAGCUAGUGUAGAGGUGAAAUUCGUAGAUAUUAGCUAGAACACCAGUGGCGAAGGCGGCCAACUGGUCCGAUACUGACGCUGUGGUGCGAAAGCGUGGGGAGCAAACAGGAUUAGAUACCCCAGUAGUCCCUGUCUCUUAUAC
rnacentral:rRNA from 1 species